CACCGCUCUACUCCUGAAGGCAGAAGAACUGAAGAUGAGUCAGGACCAUGAAGUCAUCCUGGCUGACCACAGAGAACUGGAGCCUGGGAGAAACAUGGGGCUCUGCAGCAGGAAAUACCUUCUUGCUGUGUGAUUCUAGGAUGCAAAUCUAGGAGAAGUCAAGAACUUCAGAGAUUUGAGAAGGUGAUUGAAUUCUCACCAGAAAAGGAAAGCAGAGAAGAUGCAUGAUAUUUUGAUGCCUCAAAGGCUGUAGUGAUCUGAAGAGUUACCUCUUUGUCAAAGAGAGGUAGUCACUGGUUCUAUGAUGAUUUGUCUAACUGUGAAAAGACUGAGAAUAUGUAAGGAAU
rnacentral:lncRNA from 14 species